AACAUCUUAUCUGUGUCCAAGAAGAGUUAAUUUAAACUUCCAAAUGACUAAGCAUACUCCAGUGUGUAGGUGUUUCUUUGAGAAGUGCUGUGAGGAUUAUGUUCCCAAGCAGCAAUACCAAUUCCAUUAAUAGGCUUCCUCUCUUGGGGAAGGAAUACUUCCAGCACUUGUUUUCUGCUGCUAGGCACAGUGUGUAUGGCAAUCACUUGGUCACUCGCCAGUUGCUGGAUGCACAGUUCACAGUGACUGGAGCCCAGUGACACAGCUAGGAAGUUGUUCUUUCUUGAUUUGGUUUCUGCUUCCUCUGGAGAAACUGCUUCAAUAUCAAGUGGAGACUUAGUGCUGGCAAUGUGCAGUAUGAGCCCUGGACUGUAUAGUGUUUUCAGGCAUCCGCUUGGUCCUCUCCCUGCAUGUCUAUCUGGAGUAGAAAUUAUUCACCAGACAGUCCUGUCCAGCUGCCCCAGGUAUCAUACUGCAGUCAGCCCUGGUUUCCCAGCCAUGGUGGCUGGUUUUACUGAAUGGUGUUGACUCGUGAACUUUGCAGACUUUUGAGAACAGGAGGAGAUAAUAUCUGGACUUGGCUAAUCCCUUCAGGGCUGUCUCCUCCUGCUUGCAUGCUGCCUGGAGAAGAGGUGUCUGUCUCUGUCCUUCAGGUUCUAACUGCCAUCUCAGGAAAAGCUGAGUUUUCUAAUGAUGAUCUCAGGGAUGUUAUAUAUUACAGUCUUAGCCAGAUAGUUAAACAAAUACAUGACACUUUUACUUACAGUGCAGAUGUUUUCAGGAGAAAAGUGCCCAUUUUUCCAAAGUCUUUCAUGAUGUAACUGCUUUCUCUAAUGCAAAUACAUAGAUUUCUUACACCAAUAAAAGGGCUUUUC
ensembl:lncRNA